AUUUUUACAGCCGUUUUAGAUGUAAUCGGUAAUAUUGUCUGAACUGAGCCUUUGCCAAAAGAUUGAGUUCCCAUAAUAAUUGCUCUUUUAUGAUCUUGUAAAGCACCUGCUACUAUCUCUGAGGCAGAAGCAGAGCCACCAUUUAUCAAUACAACUAUUGGUUUACCAUCCGCUAGAUCAGUAUUAUUAGAGACAAAUUCAUACAUUGCGUCUUCAGUUCUGCCUUUUGUGAAAACAAUUUUCUUUUUCCCCUUAAUAAAAGCAUCACUAACAUCAACAGCGGCCCCAAGGACCCCACCAGGGUUAUUUCG
rnacentral:ncRNA from 1 species